GGGCGAUUAGCUCAGCUGGGAGAGCGGCACCCUUACAAGGUGAUGGUCGGCGGUUCGAUCCCGUCAUCGCCCA
rnacentral:tRNA from 1 species